rnacentral:rRNA from 1 species
ACGGAGGGUGCGAGCGUUGUCCGGAUUUAUUGGGUUUAAAGGGUGCGUAGGCGGCCAUUUAAGUCAGCGGUGAAAGACCCCGGCUCAACCGGGGCAGUGCCAUUGAUACUGGAAGGCUUGAGUGUUGGAGGGGUACAUGGAAUUGACGGUGUAGCGGUGAAAUGCAUAGAUACCGUCAGGAACACCGAUAGCGAAGGCAUUGUACUUACCGGCAACUGACGCUGAGGCACGAAAGCGCGGGUAUCGAACAGGA